rnacentral:rRNA from 1 species
CCUACGGGAGGCAGCAGUGGGGAAUAUUGGACAAUGGGCGCAAGCCUGAUCCAGCCAUGCCGCGUGAGUGAUGAAGGCCUUAGGGUUGUAAAGCUCUUUCACCGGAGAAGAUAAUGACGGUAUCCGGAGAAGAAGCCCCGGCUAACUUCGUGCCAGCAGCCGCGGUAAUACGAAGGGGGCUAGCGUUGUUCGGAAUUACUGGGCGUAAAGCGCACGUAGGCGGAUAUUUAAGUCAGGGGUGAAAUCCCAGAGCUCAACUCUGGAACUGCCUUUGAUACUGGGUAUCUUGAGUAUGGAAGAGGUAAGUGGAAUUCCGAGUGUAGAGGUGAAAUUCGUAGAUAUUCGCAGGAACACCAGUGGCGAAGGCGGCUUACUGGUCCAUUACUGACGCUGAGGUGCGAAA